rnacentral:pre_miRNA from 13 species
UGUGGAUAUUACCAGAUCCUGGAACCCUAUCGAUAUUGUCUCUGCUGUGUAAAUAGCUGUGAGUAGUGCAAUAUUGCUUAUAGGGUUUUAGUGUUUGGGAAAACCAUUGGGCAGA